rnacentral:sRNA from 1 species
CGAGAUCACACCACUGCAUUCCAGCCUGGAUGAAAGAGUGAGACUCCGUCUCAAAUAAAAAAAGUAAAAAUAAAAUAUACCCACAAAGCUUCACAAUGAAGUCCUAAAUUGGCUGUCAUAAAAUGAUGAAAAGUGUGAUGCUGUGGGCUGUCAGGGAAGGGGAGCCAGAGGUCAUUAUUGAUCAGAGCGAACAGGGAAGGUUUAAUGGAAGACACCCUGAAUGAUCUGUCAGGUUGGAAUUGCUGAAAUGGAGUGCCAGGCUUCAGGUUGCAAUACUUCUUGACUGUUACCAAAGAAUAAUGAGUUGGGUAUCUUAUUGGCAUGGUGUAUAUUGCCUCUUAAUUUGAUAAAGUUUUGUUUAUGUUGUAUUGUGUCCUAGUCUUUGAUUUAAUAAUCCAGAUUGAGUUCAAUAAAGUAUCCAAGUUCUACCA